rnacentral:pre_miRNA from 1 species
CUCUACAAAUAUAGAAUAUUUGAUUUUGGUCUUUGGUAUUUUGUUUUAAUCCUUGUAAAAUCAUUUCAUAUUGAAAUUGGUCUCAUUUUAAGGGACUAAAAUCAAAUAUUUUACAUAUUACAAGGACCAAAUUCAAUAUGAAUCAAUUUUAUAAGGACAAAAACAAAAUAUCAAGGACCAAAACCAAUUUUUUUAUAUUUGCUGAAA